rnacentral:rRNA from 1 species
CGCGUAGGCGGGAUGGCAAGUCGGUCGUGAAAUCCUUCGGCUCAACCGAAGAACGUCGAUCGAUACUGCUGUUCUUGAGGGUUGCAGAGGAGACUGGAAUUCCCGGUGUAGCGGUGAAAUGUGUAGAGAUCGGGAGGAACACCGGUGGCGAAGGCGGGUCUCUGGGCAAUCCCUGACGCUGAGGCGCGAAAGCGUGGGGAGCAAACGGGAUUAGAUACCCCGGUAGUCCACGCUGUAAACGAUGACGACUAGGUGUGGGGGGGUUCAGUCCCCUCCGUGCCGCAGCUAACGCAUUAAGUCGUCCGCCUGGGGAGUACGGCCGCAAGGUUGAA